UUUUAGAUAAUAAUGAAUAAAAAUAUAUUGACUGGGGGGAACUGACCCUAGAUGAGCACUCCUACUCUUCAAUGCUUUGUGAAUAUGGGCCCUGGUGUAAUGUGUGAUCUUAGGCAUGCUCCCACUAAUCCCCCCUUCUUUCUCUGUCUGUGUCUCUUCUCCCAGAGGCCCUGGUCGUGCUGCUGUUCCGACUGCAGCUGUGGACCCCUGGCCUGAUUUCACCAGGCUUGCUACCUUGUCCCGGACCCCUGCUGAUCACGCUCAGCCAGCUUGGUGGGUGGCCCAGGAGCAUUCUCUGUGCACCUUGACCUGUAUAAGCUGCCUACAUCUUGCCAGCCCCUCAUAUCAGUGACUCUCCAAAUGCUAUGUUGAACGAGCACCACAGAUGAAGGAGGGGGAGGAAAACAGACAGCUUCUCUCUACCAACCUUCACCAAGUCAUCAUCCAAUGUUUGCUUCAUGAACAAUUGUUGCAUCUUUGAAAUUAAAUAUAUAAU